rnacentral:rRNA from 1 species
GACGAACGCUGGCGGCGUGCUUAACACAUGCAAGUCGAACGGAAAGGCCCUGCUUUUGUGGGGUGCUCGAGUGGCGAACGGGUGAGUAACACGUGAGUAACCUGCCCUUGACUUUGGGAUAACUUCAGGAAACUGGGGCUAAUACCGGAUAGGAGCUCCUGCUGCAUGGUGGGGGUUGGAAAGUUUCGGCGGUUGGGGAUGGACUCGCGGCUUAUCAGCUUGUUGGUGGGGUAGUGGCUUACCAAGGCUUUGACGGGUAGCCGGCCUGAGAGGGUGACCGGCCAAAUUUGGAAUGAGAUACGGCCCAGACUCCCACGGGAGGCAGCAGGGGGGAAGAUUGCACAAUGGGCGGGAGCCUGAUGGAGCAACGCCGCGUGCGGGAUGACGGCCUUCGGGUUGUAAACCGCCUUCGCCUGGGACGAAGCGUGAGUGAAGGUAAUGGGUAAAGAAGCACCCGCCAACUACGGUC